AAUAAUUUAUUUGAUGGUUUCUUACUACAUGGAUAACCGUAGUAAUUCUAGAGCUAAUACAUGCGUAAAGUCCCGACUCUCGCGGGGAGGGAUGUAUUUAUUAGAUUAAAAACCAAUGCGGCCUUUGGUCGGUUUUGUGUUGAUUCAUAGUAACUUUUCGGAUCGCAUGGCUUCACGCCGGCGACAGUUCAUUCAAAUUUCUGCCCUAUCAGCUUUCGACGGUAGUGUAGUGGACUACCGUGGCAUUUACGGGUGACGGAGAAUUAGGGUUCGAUUCCGGAGAGGGAGCCUGAGAAACGGCUACCACA
rnacentral:rRNA from 1 species